AGAAUCAACGCUGGCGGCGUGCCUAACACAUGCAAGUCGAACGAGAAAGGGGUAGCAAUACCCUGAGUAAAGUAGGCGCACGGGUGGAGUAACACGUGACUAACCUACCCUUGAGUGGGGGAUAACUGAGGGAAACCUUAGCUAAUACCGCAUAAUACCCACGGGUCAAAGGAGCAAUUCGCUCGAGGAGGGGGUCGCGGCCGAUUAGUUAGUUGGCGGGGUAAUGGCCCACCAAGACGAUGAUCGGUAU
rnacentral:rRNA from 1 species